UGGGGAAUUGUUCGCAAUGGGCGCAAGCCUGACGACGCAACGCCGCGUGGAGGAUGAAGAUCUUCGGGUCGUAAACUCCUUUCGAUCGGGAAGAACGUUUUCGGGGUGAAUAAUCCCGAGAAGUGACGGUACCGAGAGAAGAAGCCCCGGCUAACUCUGUGCCAGCAGCCGCGGUAAUACAGGGGGGGCAAGCGUUGUUCGGAAUUACUGGGCGUAAAGGGCUUGUAGGCGGCCAACUAAGUCCGACGUGAAAUCCCCAGGCUUAACCUGGGAACUGCGUCGGAUACUGAUUGGCUUGAAUCCGGGAGAGGGAUGCGGAAUUCCAGGUGUAGCGGUGAAAUGCGUAGAUAUCUGGAGGAACACCGGUGGCGAAGGCGGCAUCCUGGACCGGUAUUGACGCUGAAGAGCGAAAGCCAGGGGAGCAAACGGGAUUAGAUACCCCCGUAGUCC
rnacentral:rRNA from 1 species